ACAACUGGAACCCCCACCACCACUAGAACAACCUCUGUUUUCGCGAAAAAAGCUAAAGUUUUUAUGCUUAACACUCUCUUAAAUAGCAGUUCUUAGAAGAAGAUAAGGCCAGGCCACCUCCCCCACCUAGUUACACACCACAGCAUCCAGCCAGACCCUUUGUUCUUAGAAGAUAACACUCUCUUGUUUGUUCCUUCUUGCAAUGCAAAUAUGCAAUGCAAUGCAGCAUCUCUUUGCUUCGCCAGAUUCUGCCUCAUCAGUCGGAAGCUUCUAUAUCCACGCCUCGGGAUGACCGCAGCUAUGCUCGACCAGGCGAUCUUCCAGACUCACCAGCACCCCUGAAGAUUUUCACCAAAUUAGAGGGAGAUGAAGGAAUUGAUCAUUGAACAGCAUGUCAGUCUGUGUUUCAGGUCACAUGGCUCAGAAACUAGCAUCUGAACUGAAGCUGCACAAACAAAAAAGAGGAGGGAAAUAAAGAAAGAAACGAGCUCAUGCAGAGUCAAUCUUGCAAUGCAAAACACAAA